GGGUACCAUGGAGAGUUUUGUUGAUUCCAGGAGUUCUAGGGCAAUUCGGACGUCCAAACUUUGAGGAUGAACGGGAGAUGGAGAAACCGAAAUUAUGAGGAGGAGCCGAUUAACAUAGUAGCAUCACUCAGGCGAUCAGGGGGCUACCGGGGUCAGAUGAGGCCAGAGUAUACCGGGAAGUCCAGAGGAACCUACGCUUGUAGCGUCACCCAGGCUAUCAGGGGGUUACCACCGGGGUCAGAUGUGGU